UAUGGCAGACUAAGUGCUAUGGAUUUAAACUCCAUCUAUAAAGAAAUUAUCUUUUAUUAAUA
rnacentral:tRNA from 1 species